GACUGGGAUGAUUAUUGCUAUAUUCUGACACCUCUUGUAUGAGGUGAAUCGCAAGAUUCAUCUUUGAGCACAUUGAGCAACUCUCUGAGUC